CCGAGUGAGGGUCCCCUGGGCCCGACCUCCCAACCCUAUGUUUACUGUACCUAUGUUGCUUCGGCGGACCCGCCUCACGGCCGCCGGAGGGUCUUCAGUAACCCUCUGGCCCGCGUCCGCCGACGGCCAACCAAUUAAACUCUGAAUGAAUCGUGUCAUUAUGUCUAAGUCCAUGAUUUAAAAUUUAAAGCA
rnacentral:misc_RNA from 1 species